GGUGGCCGGCGCGCGAGGGAGCACUUUCCCCUCAGUGCUUCCUCUUCCGCUCCCUCGCGCGAGGGGGACGGAAGAGGAAGCACUGAGGGGAAAGUGCUCCCUCGCGCGCCGGCCGCC